rnacentral:rRNA from 1 species
CCUACGGGUGGCAGCAGUGAGGAAUAUUGGUCAAUGGACGAGAGUCUGAACCAGCCAAGUAGCGUGAAGGAUGACUGCCCUAUGGGUUGUAAACUUCUUUUAUAUGGGAAUAAAAUGUUCCACGUGUGGGAUUUUGUAUGUACCAUAUGAAUAAGGAACGGCUAACUCCGGGCCAGCAGCCGCGGUAAUACGGAGGAUCCGAGCGUUAUCCGGAUUUAUUGGGUUUAAAGGGAGCGUAGGUGGAUUGUUAAGUCAGUUGUGAAAGUUUGCGGCUCAACCGUAAAAUUGCAGUUGAAACUGGCAGUCUUGAGUACAGUAGAGGUGGGCGGAAUUCGUGGUGUAGCGGUGAAAUGCUUAGAUAUCACGAAGAACUCCGAUUGCGAAGGCAGUUCACUGGACUGCAACUGACACUGAGGCUCGAAAGUGUGGGUAUCAAACAGGAUUAGAUACCCGAGUAGUU